AGUAUAACAACUGAUAAUAUUUUCUAAAAAUUUUUUUUUUAAAUAAUUUUUUUUAGAUUGUUUGAAAAAGGAAUUGGUCAAUUCAGAUGAAAUAACAAAAUUAGGCCUUACUAUUUCAUUCCAGAGAAAAGACCCUGCUAAGUUACUGAAUUUUUUUCCAGUUGGUGAAAUUUAAUUAUCCAAUCUGCAGUUAUCUGUACGCUCACAGCGUUAUAUCAAGGCAUAUAGUGAAGUGAAAAUUUAAAAGUUACAAUAUUGAGAGAAGCCUAUUAGGAAAAUGUUAUAAUUCAACUAGUAAAGUUCAAAGAUGUGCAUGUCAUUUAGGCAUUAGUACUUAAAUAAAAAGGUGUUUGAACACUGAAUAUUUAAAUUUUAAAAAAUAUUAUUAAUCAAUAAAAUUUUAAAAAAUAUCAUUAGCACAAGACGAUUUUUUAAAAUAUAUUUUAUAAACGUUUAAAAACAUGUUGUUGGGUAAAACUUCACUUUCAUUCUCUCAGACUUUGUCUUUUUUUUUUUUUUUUUGAUUAAUUGUUGCUUGUUUUCUAAAUCUCUUUCCGUUUUACUGUCUUGUUUUGCUAAUUUUUAAAAUUUUUUAUUGUUAGGGUUGCCAAUAAAGUGCGUCGCACUAAACUUGAAAAAUUUGUACUGGUUGAAAUAAAACUAAUUCAAACAA